rnacentral:rRNA from 1 species
GACGAACGCUGGCGGCGUGCUUAACACAUGCAAGUCGAACGGAAAGGCCCUGCUUUUGUGGGGUGCUCGAGUGGCGAACGGGUGAGUAACACGUGAGUAACCUGCCCUUGACUUUGGGAUAACUUCAGGAAACUGGGGCAAAUACCGGAUAGGAGCUCCUGCUGCAUGGAGGGGGUUGGAAAGUUUCGGCGGUUGGGGAUGGACUCGCGGCUUAUCAGCUUGUUGGUGGGGUAGUGGCUUACCAAGGCUUUGACGGGUAGCCGGCCUGAGAGGGUGACCGGCCACAUUGGGACUGAGAUACGGCCCAGAGCCCUACGGGAGGCAGCAGUGGGGAAUAUUGCACGAUGGGCCGAAGCCUGAUGCAGCAACGCCGCGUGCGGGAUGACGGCCUUCGUGUUGUAGACCACUUUGGCCUGUGCCGAAGCCUGAGUGACGGUACUGGGUAAAGAAGCACCGGCUAACUACGUG